rnacentral:rRNA from 1 species
AAUAGAUACCCGGGUAGUCCUAGCUGUAAACGAUGAGCACUGGGUUGAGGGGACUUCCACAUCCUCUCGGCCGUAGCGAAAGCGUUAAGUGCUCCGCCUGGGGAGUAUGGCCGCAAGGCUGAAACUCAAAGGAAUUGACGGGGGGCUCACACAAGCGGUGGAGGAUGUGGCUUAAUUCGAGGCUACGCGAAGAACCUUAUCCUAGAUUUGACAUGGUUGAGAAUCUCCUUGAAAGAGGAGAGUGCCCUUCGGGGAGCUCUUUCACAGGUGCUGCAUGGCUGUCGUCAGCUCGUGUCGUGAGAUGUUGGGUUAAGUCCCUUAACGAGCGGAAACCCUUAUCUUUAGUUGCCAGCGGGUCAAGCCGGGGACUCUAAAGAGACUGCCGGUGUCAAACCGGAGGAAGGUGGGGAUGACGUCAAGUCCUCAUGGCCUUUAUGUCUAGGGCUGCACACGUCCUACAAUGGCACGUACAAAGGGAAGCCAAGCCGCGAGGCCGCGCUAAUCCCAAAAAGCGUGCCCCAGUUCGGAUUGCAGG